UGCAAGUCGAGCGGUCCUUCGGGACAGCGGCGAACGGGUUAGUAACGCGUGGGAACGUGCCCUUUAGUACGGAAUAGCCAUUGGAAACGAUGAUUAAUACCGUAUACGCCCCAAGGGGGAAAGAUUUAUCGCUAAAGGAUCGGCCCGCGUUAGAUUAGGUAGUUGGUAGGGUAAUGGCCUACCAAGCCGACGAUCUAUAGCUGGUUUGAGAGGAUGAUCAGCAACACUGGGACUGAGACACGGCCCAGACUUCUACGGAAGGCAGCAGUAGGGAAUCUUGGACUAUGGGCGAAAGCCUGAUCCAGCCAUGCCGCGUGAGUGAUGAAGGCCCUAGGGUUGUAAAGCUCUUUCGCCAGGGAAGAUAAUGACGGUACCUGGUAAAGAAACCCCGGCUAACUCCGUGCCAGCAGCCGCGGUAAUACGGAGGGGGUUAGCGUUGUUCGGAAUUACUGGGCGUAAAGCGCACGUAGGCGGAUUAAUAAGUCAGGGGUGAAAUCCCGAGGCUCAACCUCGGAACUGCCUUUGAUACUGUUAGUCUUGAGUUCGAGAGAGGUGAGUGGAAUUCCGAGUGUAGAGGUGAAAUUCGUAGAUAUUCGGAGGAACACCAGUGGCGAAAGCGGCUCACUGGCUCGAUACUGACGCUGAGGUGCGAAAGCG
rnacentral:rRNA from 1 species